UACGGAGGGUGCAAGCGUUUGUUCGGAAUCAUUGGGCGUAAAGCGCGUGUAGGCGGCUUGGCAAGUCAGUUGUGAAAGCCCGGGGCCCAACCCCGGAAUUGCAUCUGAAACUGCCUGGCUAGAGUCCCGGAGAGGAAGGCAGAAUUCCCGGUGUAGGGGUGAAAUCCGUAGAUAUCGGGAGGAAUACCAGCGGCGAAGGCGGCCUUCUGGACGGUGACUGACGCUGAGACGCGAAACGUGGGGAGCAAACAGG
rnacentral:rRNA from 1 species